rnacentral:rRNA from 1 species
GAUGAACGCUGGCGGCGUGCCUAAUACAUGCAAGUCGAACGCUGGAGAUCUUGCUUGCUCGCUCGAAGGAGUGGCGAACGGGUGAGUAAUACAUAAGCAACCUACCCACGAAGACUGGGAUAAUCUCUGGAAACGGGGACUAAUACCGGAUAGGUAAUCGGAAGGCAUCUUCUGGUUAUUAAAGGUUAAAAACACUGGUGGAUGGGCUUAUGGCGCAUUAGUUAGUUGGUGAGGUAACGGCCCACCAAGACGAUGAUGCGUAGCCGGCCUGAGAGGGUGAACGGCCACAUUGGGACUGAGACACGGCCCAGACUCCUACGGGAGGCAGCAGUAGGGAAUUUUCGGCAAUGGGGGCAACCCUGACCGAGCAACGCCGCGUGAGUGAAGACGGCCUUCGGGUUGUAAAGCUCUGUUGUAAGGGAAGAACGGUAGAUAGAGAAUAUCUAAGUGACGGUACCUUACCAGAAAGCCACGGCUAACUACGUG